rnacentral:rRNA from 1 species
CCUACGGGAGGCAGCAGUGGGGAAUAUUGGGCAAUGGGGGGAACCCUGACCCAGCAACGCCGCGUGAAGGACGAAGGCCUUCGGGUUGUAAACUUCUUUGAACAGGGACGAAACAAAUGACGGUACCUGAAGAACAAGCCACGGCUAACUACGUGCCAGCAGCCGCGGUAAUACGUAGGUGGCGAGCGUUAUCCGGAUUUACUGGGUGUAAAGGGCGUGUAGGCGGACCGGCAAGUCGGGUGUGAAAUCCCCGGGCUUAACUCGGGUAUGUCAUCCGAAACUGCAGGUCUUGAGUACUGGAGAGGAUAGUGGAAUUCCUAGUGUAGCGGUAAAAUGCGUAGAUAUUAGGAGGAACACCAGUGGCGAAGGCGGCUAUCUGGCCAGUAACUGACGCUGAGGCGCGAAAGCGUGGGGAGCAAACAGGAUUAGAUACCCCAGUAGUC